rnacentral:lncRNA from 10 species
UCUGUUUUUACAAUGGUGGGAUUCGUAUUCUUUCAUGCAAAAGUAGUGGCAGUAAAAAAAAAAUGAAAAAGAAAAUAUUUCAAAAGAAUGAAGUUGUCAGGGAAGAGAGUUUGUUAUAUUGUAUUUGCAUACCAUUUCCUUUCACCAUCUGGUCCUAGUGUCAUGUCCUAACACUUCCUCAUCCCAUUUUCACUCUAUCCUACUCCAGUGGUUCUCAGUCUUGGCUGCAAAUCAGAACUGCAAGUGCAACUGAAAAAAAAAAUAAUUAAUGUAGAGACUCUAUCCCAAAUAUACAUUGAAUCAGAAUCUCUAGGAGUUAGGCCUGAGCAUGUUUUGCUUUGCUUUUUUGUUUUGUUUUAACCUCUAUGUAUGAGUUAGAUGCAUAAUUAAGUUUGAAAAAAUAAAAACACCCUAUUCCCAAGCCACUCAAAUAAAAGCUGUUCUUUGGA